rfam:Trichinella sp. T8 scaffold1s, whole genome shotgun sequence.
CCAACGGUCCUUAUUAGGACCAUUAAUGUUUUAUUAAAUUGCAAU